rnacentral:lncRNA from 1 species
UUCAGCAUAAAUUUAAAAGCAUUCAGUUCUAACUUAAUUAUCUAAAGCUGUGAACUUUGUAGCGCAAGUUAGCAAAAUAAUAAAGAGGGCAGUAGUAUAACUUCUAUACACUAUAACAAGUCGAAAGUUUUUCUUUUAUCGCUUAGUAUGUAACUAAAAAUAACAACACAAAAUAGGUAACAUCAAUACCUAGAUAAAAAAAAAAUAUAUAAAAAAAUAAGAAAAUGCGCAUUUGUUUAUUUGAAUUUAUUCCUUUACACUCUCCAGUACUAUACAUAAAUGACAUCGAAAAAGAAAAAGCAAGACAAAUAUAUUACCUCGGAGUAAUUCGGGGAGGAGGAAAAGCAGACACGGGAGACUUUGUGGCGAAUGAAAAGAGAACGGUUUUGAGGAAGAGUCUUGGAGAGGUUGUAGAAGGAGACAUCGCGGCGUAGGAAGAGAGAAGGAGUUCGAGGAAGAGCCUUGGAGAGGUUAAAAAUGGCGCUUUUAGUGAUUGACAUGGCUGCCAUUGUUGUUAUGUUUAAAGAAAAAUAAGUAGCUUUUGUGCAAAUACUUGGGUGUUACAGUUU